rnacentral:lncRNA from 1 species
AAAGAAGGGGACAUUCUGAAAAGAGGACUUUAACAAGCAUUGACAAUGUCGGCAUUGACUAUCAAGUUCUUGUAAGGAGCAAUCAAUGGAAUUCUUCCCGAAGAUUAUUCCAAAGCGACAAAACACUUUCUGACAUCCCCGACGACUGAAAUACGUCGCUAGGAGCCCAAAUCAUCCAACGAUUCGAGAAACACGCUACUGAAGGUCCUCAAAUCAUUUCUAAGUUCAGGAGAGAAGAAUCAAGAGAG